AGCAUGUGGACAGGUGGAAGUUAACCUACAAAAUUAUGGCCAUGCAAGCAAGGUGUUGCCAAAUGGCAUGAGCAAUGGAAAAUCAACAGUGAAAGUCUACCAAAAUGGUAAUGGUGUCAAGUCUUGCAAUGGCUCAAUAAAUGGUGUGUACAGCAAUGGCAAUGGUGUGCAUUUUUAAGGAAGCACAAUCAAUUUAGCUAUGCACCUCUGGUUACGAUUUCGGUUUUUCUUAAGCACUUUUGGUUGCUUUGGGGUAUUUUUGUACAGCAGCUGAGUAUGGGUGGACAUUUUUUGAUUUCUAAAGUGACUUGUUUUAGGACGGAGUUGGAGUAUGAAAAACAAAGCUUGUAUUCUCCACUAUAUCAGUGAAAUAUGGGCUUAAGGUAUUGCAU
rnacentral:misc_RNA from 1 species